rnacentral:rRNA from 1 species
CACAAGCGGAGGAACAUGUGGUUUAAUUCGAUGAUACGCGAGGAACCUUACCUGGGCUUAAAUGGGGAGUGACAGCUGUCGAAAGAUGGUUUUCUUCGGACACUCUUCAAGGUGCUGCAUGGUUGUCGUCAGCUCGUGCCGUGAGGUGUCGGGUUAAGUCCCAUAACGAGCGCAACCCUUACCGUUAGUUACCAUCAGGUUAAGCUGGGGACUCUAGCGGGACUGCCACCGUAAGGUGAGAGGAAGGUGGGGAUGACGUCAAAUCAGCACGGCCCUUAUGUCCAGGGCUACACACGUGUUACAAUGGCCGGUACAAAGGGCAGCUACUUCGCGAGAAGAUGCUAAUCUCGAAAGCCGGUCUCAGUUCGGAUCGAAGUCUGCAACCCGACUUCGUGAAGCUGGAUUCGCUAGUAAUCGCGCAUCAGCCAUGGCGCGGUGAAUACGUUCCCGGGCCUU